UACGAAGGGUUCAAACGUUGCUCGGAAUUAUUGGGCGUAAAGCGCACGUAGGCGGCAUUGCAAGUCGGAUGUGAAAUCUUAUGGCUUAACCAUAAAAGUGCAUCCGAAACUGCAGUGCUUGAGUACUUAAGAGGAUCGCGGAAUUCCCGGUGUAGAGGUGAAAUUCGUAGAUAUCGGGAGGAACACCGGUGGCGAAGGCGGCUCACUGGGCCGGUCCUGACGCUCAGGCGCGAAAGCGUGGGGAGCGAACAGG
rnacentral:rRNA from 1 species